CAUUAAAAAAAUAAAAGACUGAUGUACUAAAAUUGAAACGAUACAGAGAUUAGCACAGCCCCUGUGAAAGGAUGGCGUGCAAAUUUGCGAAGCGUUCCAUAGUUUU
ensembl:snRNA U6 U6 spliceosomal RNA